GAGAAAGACAAGGAGAGUGAGACAGCGAGAGAAAGACAAGGAGAGUGAGACAGCGAGAGAAAGACAAGGAGAGGAAGACAGCGAGAGAAAGACAAGGAGAGGGAGACAGUGAGAGAAAGACAAGGAGAGGGAGACAGCGAGAGAAAGGGAGAGAGACAGGUGGAGAGAGAGAUAUUGUGACAGACAAGAAGAAGACAAAGAGAAGAGACAGAAGGGGAGAGAGGACCCCUUGACUCAAGGCCCAUUGUGCACAGAGCACUAUAUGAGUUAUGACACGUUCAUCUGGGCUCUUCUGAAGUGGGUAAUUGUGGGUAACUGUCUAAUAGAGAAACUGAUCACCGUUAAAUGCUGAGGAUUUCUCUGCCGACGCAGUUCAUUUCCCGACAGUGGCACUGAUCGCUCUUUCACACUCUCUGAAGUUUCUGUGCUGGGUACGAAUGCACUGCCGUUCCUCAGCCGACUGUGGUCAUUAGUGGCUGUUGGCAGAACAGUGUGUGAUGCUUUUUAAUAAAUAAAAUUUGAUUUUCACAUGUAGGAGGGGGGAAAAGAACCGACUGCAAAUUAAUGACUGAAAUUCUCACUGUGGCUGACAGUGAAUUCAGAAUACUCAGAGUUUUCCACAGUAAAUCAAAGAUGACAAGUAAUUUUGCGGGGCAAAGUGACAAAAGCUUGACUGAUUACCGGACCAUCGAUACCAAUUUCCAGUGCUGCUCUUCCGUCUCUCUGGCGGCUGGAGGUUUUUCUGUGUGUUUAGAUUGGUGUGUGUUUAGAUUGGUGUGUGUGUGUGGAGGUUUUUCUGUGUGUUUAGAUUGGUGUGUGUUUAGAUUGGUGUGUGUGUGUGGAGGUUUUUCUGUGUGUUUAGAUUGGUGUGUGUGUGUGGAGGUUUUUC
ensembl:lncRNA